rnacentral:tRNA from 1 species
GGAGAGGUGGCCGAGCGGUUGAAGGCACCGGUCUUGAAAACCGGCAGGGCGAGAGCCCUCGUGGGUUCGAAUCCCACCCCAUCCGCCA